ACUACAACAGCAACAGUGACUUCCAGCUCUAAUUACUCAAUGAUGCAGUUUUCAUAGUUUUUCUUCUGACCUAGAUUGACUCAGUGGGAAACCUGACAGUCUUUGUUGUCCACAAUCCUUUUUAGGUCUGGUUGUACUCAGUUGUGGCCACUCGAACAAACGCUUUCACUCAGUUUGUCACUAGAGGGACC